UACGUAGGGUGCAAGCGUUAAUCGGAAUUACUGGGCGUAAAGCGUGCGCAGGCGGUGAUGUAAGACAGGUGUGAAAUCCCCGGGCUUAACCUGGGAACUGCAUUUGUGACUGCAUUGCUGGAGGGCGGCAGAGGGGGAUGGAAUUCCGCGUGUAGCAGUGAAAUGCGUAGAUAUGCGGAGGAACACCGAUGGCGAAGGCAAUCCCCUGGGCCUGCACUGACGCUCAUGCACGAAAGCGUGGGGAGCAAACAGG
rnacentral:rRNA from 1 species